rnacentral:rRNA from 1 species
GUGCACCAGUCGCGAAUUUUCUCAAUGGGCGAAAGCCUGAAGGAGCGACGCCGCGUGGGGGAUGAAUGGCUUCGGCCCGUAAACCCCUGUCAUUUGUGAACAAAUUGUUUCACCUAACACAUGAAGCAUUGAUAGUAACGGAAGAGGAAGGGACGGCUAACUCUGUGCCAGCAGCCGCGGUAAUACAGAGGUCCCAAGCGUUGUUCGGAUUCACUGGGCGUAAAGGGUGCGUAGGCGGUUGGGUAAGUCUGACGUGAAAUCUCCGGGCCUAACCCGGAAACUGCGUUGGAUACUAUCCGGCUAGAGGAAUGGAGGGGAGACUGGAAUACUUGGUGUAGCAGUGAAAUGCGUAGAUAUCAAGUGGAACACCAGUGGCGAAGGCGAGUCUCUGGACAUUUCCUGACGCUGAGGCACGAAAGCCAGGGGAGCAAACGGGAUUAGAUACCCGUGUAGU